UACGUAGGGUGCGAGCGUUGUCCGGAAUUAUUGGGCGUAAAGAGCUCGUAGGCGGUGUGUCACGUCGGCCGUGAAACCUGCAGCUUAACUGUGGCGUGCGGUCGAUACGGCAUCACUGGAGUUCGGCAGGGAGACUGGAAUCCUGGUGUAGCGGUGAAAUGCGCAGAUAUCAGGAGGAACACCGGUGGCGAAGGCGGGUCUCUGGGCCGAUACUGACGCUGAGGAGCGAAGCGUGGGAGCGAACAGG
rnacentral:rRNA from 1 species